AUGCAGGAUCUACUUACAAUGUAGCUGUGAAGUGCUGCAUUGCCUUUGCCCCCUGCUCAAAGCAAAAUUGUUACCAUUCUAGCCCUGUCCGCUGCUGUAGCUACCAGGGAUGCGUGGUCUCAUACAU